GAUGAACGCUGGCGGCGUGCCUAAUACAUGCAAGUCGAGCGAACGGACGAGAAGCUUGCUUCUCUGAUGUUAGCGGCGGACGGGUGAGUAACACGUGGAUAACCUACCUAUAAGACUGGGAUAACUUCGGGAAACCGGAGCUAAUACCGGAUAAUAUUUUGAACCGCAUGGUUCAAAAGUGAAAGACGGUCUUGCUGUCACUUAUAGAUGGAUCCGCGCUGCAUUAGCUAGUUGGUAAGGUAACGGCUUACCAAGGCAACGAUGCAUAGCCGACCUGAGAGGGGGCUCGCCAACCCUGAACCUGAGCCCGGGCCCGAGCCCCAACGGGGGGCCCCGGUGGGAAUUCUCCCGCCUGGGGCGAAAGCCUGACGGGGCAACCCGGCGUGGGUGAUGAAGGGUUUCGGUUCGUAAAACCUUUUUUUUGGGGAAGAAAAUUUUUGUAAGUAACGGGGCCAAUCUUGCCGGUACCAAAUCAAAAGGCCCCGCCAACCUCCUU
rnacentral:rRNA from 1 species